rnacentral:rRNA from 1 species
AUUGAACGCUGGCGGCAUGCCUAACACAUGCAAGUCGAACGAGCGGCGGACGGGUGAGUAAUGUAUGGGGAUCUGCCUGAUGGCGGGGGAUAACUACUGGAAACGGUAGCUAAUACCGCAUACCAUCAGAUGAACCCAUAUGGGAUUAGCUGGUUGGUAAGGUAACGGCUUACCUAGGCGACGAUCCCUAGCUGGUCUGAGAGGAUGAUCAGCCACACUGGGACUGAGACACGGCCCAGACUCCUACGGGAGGCAGCAGUGGGGAAUAUUGGACAAUGGGCGAAAGCCUGAUGCAGCCAUGCCGCGUGUAUGAAGAAGGCCUUCGGGUUGUAAAGUACUUUCAGUAGGGAGGCGUUACCGACAGAAGAAGCACCGGCUAACUCCGUGCCAGCAGCCGCGGUAAUAC